rnacentral:rRNA from 1 species
GAUGAACGCUGGCGGCGUGCCUAAUACAUGCAAGUCGAGCGAACAGAUGAGGAGCUUGCUCCUCUGACGUUAGCGGCGGACGGGUGAGUAACACGUGGAUAACCUACCUAUAAGACUGGGAUAACUUCGGGAAACCGGAGCUAAUACCGGAUAAUAUAUUGAACCGCAUGGUUCAAUAGUGAAAGACGGUUUUGCUGUCACUUAUAGAUGGAUCCGCGCCGCAUUAGCUAGUUGGUAAGGUAACGGCUUACCAAGGCAACGAUGCGUAGCCGACCUGAGAGGGUGAUCGGCCACACUGGAACUGAGACACGGACCAGACUCCUAAGGGAGGCAGCAGUAGGGAAUCUUCCGCAAUAGGCGAAAGCCUGACGGAGCAACGCCGAGUGAGUGAUGAAGGUCUUCGGAUCGUAAAACUCUGUUAUUAGGGAAGAACAAAUGUGUAAGUAACUAUGCACGUCUUGACGGUACCUAAUCAGAAAGCCACGGCUAACUACGUG